rnacentral:lncRNA from 1 species
AUAUUUUUUAUUUUUUAUUUUUAUUAUUUAUUUUUUAAAAUCAAACAUCCCCAUUCUCUCUAUAUGUUCAAUUACAACACUCUUGAAAGACAACUCAAAACAUCCCAUAUAAAAUAUCACCAAACAAAUAGCAUUUGGAAAAGUGGUUUCCACUUUUCCCAAAUCCACUCCAAGACAACAAGCCUUAUUACAAACACCCACUUCAAAUUUUCCAAGUCUUCAACUACAUAUUUCUAUGAUUUUAUGGGGUUUUAAUGAGGGAAAAACCCUGAAAAAAUCAGCGGGUGACGAUUAGGGAACGGGAGCAGAUGGCGCAGAAGUACUUGGUCUUGGUUUUGCGGGAGACAGGGACACAACACACAUGUAAAUUGCAGUCAAGAUGCGUUGCAACAACAGGGCCUCCACAGCAAGGGCACACAGCCCCGGCUCCUUCUCUUUUGAUCACCUUUUCUCUCAUAUCAAACACUUGGAAUAUACUCAUGUUUCUCCUCCUGCUGCUACUGCUGCUUCUGCUUCUUUGUUUUUCCACCGCUUGGUUUCUGUCUUUUUCUGGGAUUUUCUUGGAUGGUGUUUGGGAUUGUUUCGGGGUUUCAUUUGGUGGGUUUGGCUCCCUUCCCUAUUUAUAGCUCUUUUAGAAGGCAGAAAAGUCGAGGUAAUUCAAUGCGAAUGCCUGCUGCUGUGUUUUUCUGAGAUGGCUCCUGGAAAUCGAGAGGAAAGGGGCGACUGUCAGAUGGGAAAAGGACAAGAUGAAUGUUGUUCAGUUGGAGAAAGUUGGAUUGGACCAGCAUGAAGCCCACUGGGCUUGUUAGGCUGGGCCCAACACUACGAACUUGACGCGGACAAGAUAGUUUUAUUGCGGUGCCGACUAACCUAAUUAAAAUACAUAGAUCUAUAAUUGAAGAUACUCUUUUUUUUUUUUUUAACUUCGAAUUUCUAAACUAUUGAUUUCCGUAAUUGAAAAUAAUCAAUUAGGUUUACGACAAAAACUUAGAAAUCGAUAGACCUCAAUAAAAUCUUAAAAAGAUUAACGAUAAGAAGUGAUGAGUUUAAUAGUUUUUUGUAUAAAAUUAUUGACUCUAGAAUAUAAUAAUAUGAAUAAGACAUGAUUAUGUUCGGCUUUUUUUUUUUUCCAAAAGAAAACAUAAGUUACUUAUGGUAAGAUAUUUAAAUAAUGUUUUACCAUUUUUAUCAAGAGAGCCUAGAAAUGAAAAAUAAUUUAAAAUAAAUUCUUUCCUUUUCUUUAUAAUAUUCAAAUAUAAUAAUUUUUUUCUUUUUUUUUUUGGUACUUUCUAACAUCAAACAUAUUAAGGAAAAUAACUUUCUUGUAUUUGGAUUUCAUUAAAAAAAUUAUUAUUUUUAUUUAGUUGCUUUUGAAAUGGUUAAGGAAACAAUUGAAUUUAAGUAGUCACAAAAUUAUUUCUAAAAUUAUAUACCUUAUAUUCACGUCAAAAUCAUCUUUUUUCUUUUCAGUGUUUAUAUUAAAAUAUCAAAUGAUUUUGCAUUGCAAUUAUUCACAUCAAAAAUAUAAAUUAAUACAUGUUUCUACUAAAAUCUCAUUUUAAAAUGAUAAUUUAUAUACGUAAAAUCAUUUUUCAAAAAAUACGAUAUGAGAAAUAUUGCAUUUUUAUAAACAUUUUAUAAAAUAUUCGUUUCUUAAGAUUAUGUUUGAUUCCUUGGAAAAUAGUAAGAAAAGAAAAAUGAAAUAUUAAAAAAAAUGAUUUUCUUACAUAUGUUUUUACUAUGAAAAAUUCGAAAGAAAAUUAUAUAUAAUUAAAAUUAUUAAAAAUUUUAUAUAUUUUUAAAUAAUUUAAUCAAUAUAUAAAAGAGUUAAAUUAGUAAAAAAAAAUUAAUACAUAAAAAUAAUUUAUUAAUUUUAGAUCUAUUUUUUAUUUUAUUUUAUUUUCUUCCCCUGUAUAUUUUUUUUUUUCAAAAUUUUCUGGAAUAUAACCUAAAAAUGAUAUUAAAAUAAAAAAAUCCUCCACUAUUCCCCUAAUCCGACAAGAUUGAAUGGAAUCAGAGGAAUACAACUACAAAGAUUUUCCAUGGAAUCCGAGGAAUUUUCCAUGGCCGGUCAAUUUUCAUUGCUGUUAAUUUACCUGGAAAUUUGACAGCCAUGAGAAUCCCGUCCGGAGAAAAUAACGUUGUGGGCACGUGUGAAACUUUUGCUUGUCCAAGGUGCCUUGGAAUUAGUCAAGGAAAAAGACAAAUUUCAUCCGCGCCAGGAUAUGAACUUCCUGGAAAUUUUCCCACUUCCAAUCAAAUCAGUUUCCGCGUUGACGGAAAGUGGGUCAAAUGCGUGUCAAUGAAUUUCAUUUGAAAAAUUCGUUCCAGAUCUCAAUCAUUAUUAUAUUUGAAUUGUAUAAAUGAUUUGAAUUGUUUUUUGAAAUUGGAAUUAAAAUAAAAUAAAAAAUAAAAAUUCAUGCUCAAAUCCCAAUCACCCUAAGAUGAGAUCUUGUGACCCGAAAGGAUAACAGAAUUAGGUUACGGAUGACUAAGUUAGCAUUUAGUAAAUCAACUUAAUAACUUAAAGUAAUUUAGUAAUUUAAUAAUUUAAUUUAAAUUAUUAAAUAAAUUAAAUAUAUUUGAUAAAAUAACUUAAUGAUAUAAUUUAAAAUUAAAAAUAAUUUUAAAUAAUAGAUAAAAACAAUUAAUUUAUUCUUAAGUCAAUAUAUUUAGAUUAUCCUUUUACUAUCAUUUACCCUACUUAUUUUUAUGAUCUUUUUUACUACUUCAUAACCUUUACUAUUACUCAAUCUCUUUUAGCAUAAUUAUAAUUUACGAAGAUAAACAUGUCAAUUUUAUUAUUUAUGAUAAGUUUUAAGUUAAUUUUAUUAAACAAGUCGAAUACUUAAAGUAAAAAUUAAGUAAUAAAUUUUAACUUAAUAAUUUAAAUAUAAUUUAACUUAAAAUUAACUUAAGUCAUUAAGUAAUAAAUAUUAAGUUUUACUAAACACCUCCUAAACUUAGAUUGAUCCGUAUUCUUGACUAGACCUUUGAGCUUUAAGUCAAUUGUAUGUGGGAUCUAAGGGGUUAUUUGGAGCUAAAAUAACCGUCAAAUUAUAAAAAUGACCUCUUCUUUUUAAUUAUAUUGAGAAAUAACCCAAAGUGAAAAUACUUUGGGUUAUUUUAUUAUUAUAAAUUUAACAAAAAAAAAAAAAAAAACACUUGUUAAUUAAAAUAUUUAUCUAGACUUUAAUGUUAGAUAUCAAGACUCCAUGAUCUCACCUUCACAUUUUAGAAGUUUAAAUGAAACCAAAACAAAAUCUAAACCAAAAAAAUUUACAAGAACAACCGCAAAACAACCCCAAGCAAAAUCCCACUACAAAAAGCCUUCAAAAUCCCUGUAGAAAACAUUUGCAAAAAAAAAAAACCCUAAUAAAAAAUAAUUGUAAAAAGUCCCAAGUAAAAAAUAUAUAUAUAAUAAAAAAUAAAAAAUAAAAACCCCCGACCAAAAUCCCAUUGCAAAUAAUCCCUCAACCGUAAUCUCGCUAAAAACCUUAACCAAAAACAAUAAAAAAAAAAAAAUAGCUGCAAAAAACCACAAAAACCUUAACCAAAAAUAAAGAGAAAGAUGAAGAAUUUUGAAGAAGAGAAAAAGAUGAGAAAGUUGUGGUUAAUGUUCAUUUGGUUGAUAUUGGUUAUGAUUCCCCUCCAAAAUUCAUUAGAAGAAGGGAGAGGGCAUGAAGAAAACGAGAGGCAAGUGCCAUUUUUAAGGAAAUAAAAAGGAUAAUAAUGUCCAAAAUAGUCAUUUCCUUAAAGAAAAAAUUAAGAGAAAUCAUUCUUCCAAUUUCAAUGUCUUUUCUCCAAAUAUCUCAAAUUUAAAAGAAAUAAUAUAUAAUUAAUUAAUUAUUUUACUUUAAAAUUUUAUUUAAUUGAUUAUUAAAAAUAUCAUAAUAAUCUUCAUAAUAAGUCUUUCUUUUCGUGGAUAUUUUCUAUUCAAAUUAAUUUUUUUAAUUAAUUUUUCUUUCAUGUGUAUUUUCUAUUCAAAUUUUCAAUAUUUCCGUAAAAUUCAACCAUUAGUAUUUUCACAAUUUAUGGUAUUUAAUCAUUAUUACCAUGAAAAUAAGAAAAUAAAAAAUGAGAAAUCUUUUCCUCAAACACAACCACUACAUAAUUCUAAUUAAAGAAAAAAAAAACAAGCAAACAAUUUAUUUACUCUAAAUAUCAAUAGUUAAAACUUAUGGUUAGAAAAGUCUCACUGUCCUCCUCAUGGUCGUAAAAAAAUUGGAAGGAAAAUAUGAAAAAUAAAAAAAGGAAAAUAGGAAAUAAAUUUAUUUUUUAAAUAAUUUAAAAACAUAUAAAUUUUUAACUAAUUUUAAUUAUAUUUAAUUUUUUUUAUUAUAUUUUCUAUAAUGAAAUAAAAAAAUAACACUAUAUUUAAUUCCUAAAAAAAUUGUGAGAAAAUUAAAUAAAAAAUAAAUUUAAAAUUAAUAAAUUAUUUUUAUAUGGUACUUCAAAUAUUUUCACUUCUUUUAACCCUUCAAAAUAAUGAUUAAAUAAUUUAAAAAUAUAUAAAUUUUAAUUAAUUUAAUUAUAUUUCAUUUUCUUUCGUAUUUUUCAUAAUAUAACCAAAUAUGAAAUUUUAUUUUAUUUUAUUUUUUAACAUUUCUUUUCUUAAUACUUUCGAAACUAAACAUAAUAUUAACAUUUUUUUCCUUUAUUAAUAUUUUCAGACAACCAAAUUCAGCAUAAAGCAAUUUCAAAAACUCAGCACAACCAACCAUCAAACGGACACAAGCAUCUCUCCUUAUAGGACCGACUGCAGAAUCUUCCUCUACUAAAUGGUUGGAAGAACCAACUGAGACAAUGAACGAAAAUUCAGUAGUAAGUAGACACAUACUAAUGGUUCCAUUGUUUUUCCCGGAAAAUUAGAUUAUAAUAUAGGAACUGAAAUUCAGUAGGUAAAGUAGAUGCAGACACAUGACCAAAAUAUUUGUCUUUUAUUUUGUGCUAUACUAACCUCCCUCUUUCCUCAGAAUCCCCAAGUUUUCCUAGAAGACUCAUGACCCCAAACAUAAUACCGAGAAAGAUACACAUACAGAACCAAAACCUAAUCCCCAAGUUUUCCAGGAAAAUUUGUUGACCCAAACAUGCUCCUCAGAAUCCCCAAGUUUCUCUAGAAAAUUCAUUGAUCCAAACAUACUGAGAAAGAUACAGAAGGAGCACAAAAACUUAAUCCCCAAGUUUUCUUACAAUCCACUCCAGUCUCUGUUUAUGUAACUGCUUGAUCACCAAGUAAAUCUUCAAAACUUCUCUGAUUUCCACAAUUCUACCAGAAUUUCUUGAAAACCCCUCUAUGAAUAUAGAAUGCAGAAGGAAUUGACUAGAGACAUUGUGGUUUAGUUGAUAUGCAAAAUAGCAUAGUUUAUUGGGAGCAGACAGGAAACUAUAUCAAACUCAGGAAAGCAUAUAUUGAUUGAAGGAUUUUGAGAUCUCAUUAUUAACAUUUCCUGAUACAAUCACAACAAACAUUUUUCAGAUAUAAGAUCAUAGUUGGGCUACUGGCAACACAGAGAAGCACCCGGUCUGUUAAAAUGUUUAGUAAUUCAUCAACUAUAUAAAGAAAAGAAUGGGCAUAAACAAUAGUGCUUACGCGUCAAAAAACUGUGGAUCAUGGAGAUGGUCCUGUCGGAUUGUGGGCCUCAAUAUCUACAUGCCGAAUGCCAGGAACAAGCUCCUGGAUCUCCUUUUCUAGCCUGUCAACUUCACUACCCAGAGCUGUAACCACUUCCUCACCUGCCAUGAGAACUCAAGUGAGUUAUUUUCAUGUUGUUGGUAGACUUCAGUGUAAAUGUUAUUUGUUAGUUUAUUAAAGUGCAUACCAUAGUUUGACAUCAUCCGCAGCAGUGCAGAAUCGUCCUCCUCCUUUGCAGCUUCCCGAAACUGAAUAUCAUUAAUCCUGUUGGUUAGAAACCCAUCCUACAGAGUCCAAACCACACAAACAAUGUCCCUAAUGAUUUUGUACAGGCAGGCCCAACCUGCUGGAGCAAGCCAUCAAGAUGGCCUCCAUUUUGAUCAAAACCCAACAAAAAAUGAGUUGUCCUCCGGAUGUGAUGAACAGAAAGGACCUUUUCAUUUAUUUAUCCUUUUUUUUAGAGCAAGGGAUUAGAACAAAAUUUGUACUUGCAGGGCACAUGCUUCCGAAGCAAUUCCCACAUAAUCCACAGUGAGACUAGAUUCUCUCAUGUAUUUGCAUGGAUAAUUGGUAAUAUAGAUUUCUAUUUAAGAAAUGGGUAAGAUAAAUAUGCAUUCACCCUUCUCAAUCUUAUCCCAACCCAAAUCCCAGAAGCAAAAUAAGAUAGAGAGUAACAGGUCCAUAUUGACUGGAUGACAUUUAUAUACAAGCUUAAAACAAUACAAUUUAGGAGACAUGUAACAUUCAUUUCAGAACAUCUAGGGAUCGCAGGGACUUCUAAUUGUUUGAAAUAUUGCAGAACUAAAAGCACCUACAUGUGUGUGAUGCCAUGUAACCUCAGUUUCCUGACCACCCUUUUCAAGGAAACACUUGUAUUUGUAAAAAACUGACAGCAUUCACCCAUGCAAGAAAAAACGGCCGACAGUACCAAAUUUACUGACUGUUAUAUGAAAAAGAAAUGUGGAAUGUCAAGUACCUUGACAAGGGUACUUACAUGUGACACAAUUGAAAAGCAGUUACAGCUUCCCCAAGAAAAUUUAUAAAAAUAAAAAUAACACCAGUUGGUAAAAACUAACCUGUCUGGCCCAUGUUUCACGUCCUGUCCUUUUCAGAUAAUUUUGCACCACCACCACGCCAUUGAAAUCUGUUGCAUACAACUUGCCACCAUCAACACACUGAGAUCCAAAUAGUGCUAAUUUAAAGUCUAAUUGAGAGUUUAUUCUUAAAUGGUUAGAAGCAUUUUCUAUUGCUUGAACAAUCAUCCAUAGCAAAAUUUGGUAUCAGACAAAGUUGCAGAAAUGACAUUUGAAAAUCUAGAGAAUCACUUCAACCGAUUCUACAAUUAACACAUGGUAGUUGUUUCUACUAAAUAUCUUUUUUUUGUUAUAUAACAUAUUCUCAAAAACAUUAUCAAAAGCAUUUUUGGUUUAUAUCUAAACACUAAUUUGAUUCUCUUUGGAAAACCAAUUGGCUGCUAGUGAGAUAAUGUUAAACCUCUUUCUAUAGUUUGAAUAAUACUAAUCAACCUCAAGUUAGCACAAUUCAGAAGCAAACACCAAAUUCUGAGCCAAUACCAUCUUAGGCUUGGUUCCUAGUCAACCACAAACAACAAGCCAACAUAACCUCAGCUUACUUAUUGAGCUAACACAAAAUCCUAAAGCCAAUACAAUCUUAGGUUUACUUCAUGAGCAGAACACCAAAUCUUGAGCCAAACAAUCUCAACCUUACUUCUUAGGUCAUUAUUUCCUCAGGAGCGGCAAUCUUGGCUCUAGCACCACUUGUUAAGACUAAUGCAUUGGUUUUUUACAUAUGAAAAACCGAUUCAUAGUCAUUAAGGUCAAGCUCAACCUCUUUAUAUGGUUUGAACCACACAACAUUAGCAUCAAGCUAACACAAUCUUGGUACCAACGCCAUUGGAAUCAUAUAAAAAACUUUAGCUUGAUCUCAUUGGUAGUUAAUUGGUCUUCGGCCAGUUUGAACCGCACAACAUUAGCAUCAAGCUAACACAAUUUUGAUACCAACACCUUUGGAAUCAUAUGAAAAAGCUUAGCUUGACCUCAAUGGUAGAUAAUUGAUCUGUGGCUAACACUGCUCGAAACAUAUGAAAAGGUUGAAUUGACAUCAUUUGUAGUCACUUGAUUUUCAGAUAAGGUGGCUAAUAUCUUGAUUCUAACAAUAAGAUGCAUAAUAGUGCAUGGUAAACCAAAGCACAAAAUGAAAAUAUAUCAUCAAUGAUGUAUGCAUAUGGGUGUGGAGAUGUUAGAUAUCCUCAUAGAGAUAUUGACCUAUAGAUAACCAAACCACAUAAAAAUCUGAAAAAUAAGUUACUGUGGCAAAGGUUACCUAUUUCUGCCUUAAACCUAAAGAACCCAGGUCCAAUCACCUCACUUUUACAAUCAUAUAGAGCAUCAACUACCUACAAAAAAAAUAAAUAAAUAGAGUCGUACCCGUCAAACUGGGACAAAUAUGUAUAACAGUAGCUAAUUGGGAUAGAGUUAUUCAGUGUAGAAAACAAUACCGGAUCAUUUUUCAACAAAUUAAGAACCUUUUCCAUAUCAUGAGCAUCAAUUGCUCUACCAAUCAAUGCAUGCCGAUUCCUCUGGAUGAGAAAUAUAGCUACCUGAAUAAAAAGUUCAACUCAAACACAUCACUUUAAACCAUGCUAAUAAGUCAUACGUUUUGUUCUUAUAGAACAUAAAUAACAUAUUCUCAUACUAAUUAACCUUGAUAGAUAUCUAUAGCUCUUUCAAUGUCUCCAAACACUUUGAACACUUCGUAGUUGUAAGUUUUACAAAUAGCCCUUUGAUUAAACCCUGAUCUGAACUUUCGCAGCCAUAUCAACAACUUCCCUCAUCAACUAGAAGUUGGGUCAUGCUACCGAUUCUCCAUCAAUAUACCACUUGUCUCUUUUUCUUUAGGUCUCUAUCCUCCAAAUGCCAGUGGCAAGUUUGUGUUAAGGUAAAACACAAUAAAAGCCAAUGGUACAUUUGGAAAAUGAUACGGCCAUACUUUUGUAAAGGAAUUGAUUACCUUUAGGGUAGUGUAUACAAUUGCAGGCAUUUGCAUCUAUUUCACUUGAUGGGAAUAUUUUAGUGCUAUAUAAAUUUUUAGGUAAGAAAAAAAUGGAAGGUAAAUACUACUUACCAUUCCAAGUAAAUUACCAACCACAAUUGAACCUAUUGGGUCAUAAAUUGGAUUUCCAGUCGUAUUUACAGCAACUAGUGAUGCUCCUGCAAUAAUAAGACCAGUAACUGCAGCACCAUCCUGCUUAUUUAAAGUCAUAUGUUAAGAGAAAGACAACAACAGAACAAGCAAUAAGAUAAAAUGAAUUGCUUAAAGAGCAGAAAACCACUAGCUUGCCAAACUAUAGUAAGCACCAAGCACCCGCAACAAUAAUAUGCAUAAUCAGCAUACAUAUAUUCACACAAUAAAGAAAAGGACAAAAAUUUGACAAAAAAAAAGAAGAAAAAUCGACUAGUCAAAAAGGAGAGUGCCUUGAACUUCUGAGAGUUUUCAAAAGCAGAAAAAGAGGCCAAACAGGUGAUCUUUUGUUCAGAAUCCUGAUGUUAAGAAAAGUUGCCAAAUUACAUGAGCACCACAAACUUCAUGAUAGCACAUUUUCCCAACUUAAGCUGGAAAUGGAUUCUAGAUAAUGAAGUUCCAUGCAUACAACAACUUUCUCAGCACUAGAAUUGUCUUCAAUGCUUCAAGCAUCCUCAAAGGUAACAUCUUGAUCUUGUACAAAUCCAUAGCACAAGAAUAUGAUAAGAGUACAUGAUAAAUGGGUCGAUCCUCAAAUGAUAAUGAGGUAUUGAAUGGUGUAGCUUCUAAUGGGGGUUAUCACAUAUUAGAGGCAGGAACUGGGAACGGAAAAGCAAUCAAUUUUGGGGAAGAUUCUUUUAUAUAAAUGUUAGGAGGAUUUACACAAAUCUUUACCACCAUGGAUAAGUAGGUGGAGUGUGAUGUUAUUUUGAUAUGCCACAAAGUUGACAGAAAUUUCCAAGAUUUGGAGUCAAAAAAGUAGCUCAAAUCCUUUUUCCUGUCCCUAGAUCAAUAUGUAACAUUGCUCCUUCCCCAAGGAGCUACAUUAGAACUUUUCAGUUUCAUCAAAAGUGGCUUUCAUCAGUUUAGUAACUCUUAGAAGAAACAGGUGGUGAUUGGUGGAUAUUUUCUUUACUCCAAAAUGCUAUGUGAGAUAACUCUGAAAUGUUGUGCUUUUUUAGUCUCAAUUGGAGGUGGGCAGUAGGCUAUUAUUUGCUCCUCAAACUGUUGGCUCUCCGUGACUACUUGGUUCACAUUUUAUUUAUGGAUUCAGGCUCUAUUGGGUUAUGCCCAACUAUAUAACAGGUUUUGCUAAUGGGUGUGGCCAUGCAACAUGAAAGAUAACCAUUUCUGCGGUUCUACAAUUGAUGUGGAAGAAAAGAAGUAAAAUAUUAUUAGUAGGAUGAAAGAGAAGCUAAGGAUUGAGCAUCUUGCAUUAUCAUUUGCGGAAGAACCCUAAUUAUUCAUCCUGUAAAGUUCCAAUGAUUCUACAUCCUAUGGUGUCAAGUCCCUUUUUCUGCAAACUAUAUUUAUAAUAUAAAAAAUUAUUAUUAGAAAGAAACAGUUUGUGCUCUUGAACUUGGAAAUCUGAGCAAGAAAGCUAUUACCUUGAUCUCUAGAAAAUUUUUCAUGUUACAUUCACCAUUAGAUACUUAUUAUAGCUUUCCCUGUACUACAAACCAUUUUUAGAAAUGAAAAAGAGAACUUGGAGUCUCACAAGCUUGUGAGCAAGGAGCAUACAUUCCAAAUCCAAGAUCAAAGCUUCACUUGGUAAGGAAUGUUGCAACCAGAUUUAAAUCCUAAUCCUAAGAAGCAUUUUUUUCUUUUUUCCUUUUCCACUGGAGAAAUAAGAGUUACAUAUUUAUGUUAGAAAAAAGGAUGUUAGCAAACAAGGGGAAGCAACUCUAGUACACAGAACUUAUAGAAGACUUAAUCUUAAAGUAAUGCUGUCAUUAUUUCCAACCAUUGAAAGUGAACAAGGCACAGGCAAUUACCUCUGUCAUGACUGCAACAGAUGUAGGAUCAUGACCACGCCAAACAUAAUCUCUCACCUUCAUUCCCUCUGCAGCUGCCCCUUUCUUGACAGCAUGUAUGGCUACUACAAGAGAAGCACCUAAAGAAAAGCCACUGUUAAGGGGAAAGAUGAAGAAAGAUAAACUAAAGAAACUCUUGAAACAACCCUAUAUCACAAAAUAAUUAUGCAAUGAGUUGUACCUUCAAUGAGGAAUGAACCACCAAUAACCAAAGCCGCAUACUGAAUAUUUGCAGGAGGCUGGAAAGGACAUGCUCACAAAUCAAUAAACCAUAUACCAAAGCAACUGGUAAGAAUCUGGAAGGAGAGAACCAGAGAAGUUCUAAGUUACAUGUGAAGUCCACAAAUUUUGUACUCCAUGAACAAUUGUAGCACCAGAACCAAGACAAAAUAUACCAACGGCAGAAAUCAGAGACCAAACGAAUCUUUCCUUCGAAUAGCCAUAACUGAAGAACACAAAAAUAAAAAUUUCAGAUUAUUCAUAUAGUCUAUGAACAAAAGAAACAAGUUGUAAGCCUCAAUAUGAAUAUCCUUCAUGCAUGUGCCUGUCUGUGAAUUUCCCAAUAGAAAAUGCACAGUUCACUGACUGGUGUAUGUAAUUAAGGGUUCAGGUUGUGUCAGACGAAUCCAUUCUUUUGCAUCCAGAGUGGCAAUGUGAUCAUAAUGAAUUCAUUCCAUGAUUCUGUUCUCAACUGAAACACCAUCCAAUUUGAACUAUCAAUUGAAUUCAAGUGCUUCAUAACCAGUCUAGUACUUGGAUCAAAUCAGGUGAUAACUAAUCCCAUUCUGAAUUCAUAGAAGAAAAGUGCACAGAAGUAUUCACUCCAAGGUGAAAAUCCAAGAUUUAUCCAAAUAAUUAUAAUUUUUCUAUUGAAGGUUUCUCAGACAAAAUGAUGAUGAUGAUGAUGAAAUUGCACAGAAGUAUUCAGUCCAAGGCAUAAGUCCAAGAUUUAUCUAAAUAAUAAUAAUUUUUCUAUUCAAGGUUGCUUAGACAAAAUGAUGAUGAAGAAACAUGUACAAGUACUUUAUAUCUAGAUCAUAGUUGUUAACUUGUAAAACAUAUCAUGUAUCAUUUUUCCAUUUUUCUAUAUUGAAUAUUUUAUCAUAUCGUAUAUAUAUAGUGAAAAAUAAAUAGAAUAAAUAUGUAUACAAGUGCAUAUAUAUUGUAAAUAUAAAGUAAAAAGUAAUAUACAACCAAUUUCAUGAAAGAUAGUAGGAUUUAAAGAAUUAAACUAUGUCAUACCAUAUGAAAACAUUGAAUGCUAGAGUUUUAAAAAGUUCAAUUUAACAAAAUAUAAGUUUAAUAUAAAAUUUCAUCACAAAAUCCAUAAAAACAAACUUCUUAGAUUUUUACAUUUAGGUUUUAGUUCCAAAUUCUACCAAGGCAUAAGUACUUAUAUGUGUUGUUGAUAUAAAUGUCUCUUUGUGCCAUCUCCAAAGUUCCAACUUUUCAUGUUCGUCAUUAUCUCUUCCUCGCCUAAAAAAAACCUAAUAAAUUAAGUAAAAAAUUUUUAUUCACUAAUCACCAUCAUUUUCAUUGUCAAUAUCAAAACCAUCGAAAUGGUCCGAUAUUCAUUAUAAGAACAAAUUUAUUUAACUUCCACUUUGGCCUUUGACAACAUGAAUAUAGCUUUCAUGUAGGAUUAUCUUUACUCUUUCUCUUUUUAUGAUCAAUUUCUAACCUUUUUGUAUAUAUUUCCUUUAACAAAAUACUUUUGCUAAAAAUUAUGAAAAAUAGCUAAAAGUGUAUAUAUCAUUUUAUCAAGCAUUGGAUGAUGUAUCGUAUAUGUAUCAUAAGAUACACUUAAAAUAAGAUACGGGUUGCUAAACGCCUCGUAUCAUAUAUCCUAAGUUUUUAACAACUAUGAUCUAGAUAAAGUUUGAUCCAUAUGCUGAAUGGUGAAGUCAAUGUAAAUAUAACAAAGACAAGAACAUCGAUGCCAAAGGUGACCUCUGAAAUGAAAUACUCACGGGUGGAUAGCAUCUGGAGCACGCCUUGAGCUACUCAGACCAUAUGCAAGAAGAGCCUACAUUGUGAAUAUGUAUUAGUUUCUCUGCAUUCAAUAACUACAAAAUCAACACAAAUGUAAACAAGAGUAAAAGAUAAGAAUGUCAGGAAGAUGAACAAUUAGACUAACAGGAGUACCUGAUUUGCAAAAUCUGCGGCUGAGUGCACAACUUCAGCCAACAUAACAUGGCUAGAGGUUGUUAACCAGACCCCAAACUUGAGAGAAAAGACGAGGAAGUUACACCAUAAUGCAGUUCUGACUGCUCGUUGGCUAGAAUAAACAUGUUAGGCAGAAACAAAAGAAAACAAAAAAGGUCAGAUGGUGAAAAGUGGGAGCUAAAUUUCUGGUCCCUAAUUGCAAAAAAGGCUCAAAAUUCUUGAUAGGUUUGGAUUCAGUGCAGUUCAUUAAUAUGCAGCUUGGAUUGACGUCAUCCACAAUCACUCCACAUCCUAAGAAAGUCACCCAUAAAAUCACACUAGAGGAGAGAAUCAAGAAACAAAGGAAUCAAAAGAAUGAAAAGCUUUCUCUUUCAUGACUGCUUGCAUCAACUAGUUAAUUUACUCUUUUCUUGUAUUAAAUCAAAGAUAAUGUUACAGAAGAUUAAGAAUUUCCAAAACCAUAAAUAUACACACUCCUAAAGGUUUUGUAGCCUAUUUCUGUGAACUGGGACAUUCCAACUAACCCCAUUUUCAUUUUCGGGUUGCUAUAAAAUAGUACCCCAAAAUAAAACAUUCCCAUAAAUCUUUCCUUACUUUCCCAAAACCAAAAUACAUGUACUCCGACUCUUAUUUGCAAGUCAACCACACAAAUGCUCACAUGAUCAAUCAACAAACCAACUUACAGCCCCAAAAAUGGCCAGAAAACAACUCAAUUUACCUGUCCUAUAGUAAGCCCUUAACAUGAACUGAAUAGUCCCAAAAAUGCAAUUCAAUUCAAUUCAAUUUGUUUAUCUUAUGGUAAACUAUUAACAUGAAUCAAAUAGGCCCCAGAAACUUAAUAUACUAUAGUAAGCCAUUAAUAUAGCUCAACUAGGACCCGAAAAUUCAAUUCAAUAUAAUUCCACAGUAAGCUAUAAAAUCCAAUCAUGAUUAGAACAAUAGCAAUAAGGAAACAAUGUAGGUCAAUAAAAGGAACCAAUGAAAACUAAUAAUAUCAAUAUCACCUGUGCUGAUCAUUGAUUUCAAUGUUCUUAACUUCCUUGGCUCUAGUAAAAAAAUCUGUAAAGAUCAAAGAAAGCCAACAUCAACCCACAAAAUGGAAAAAGAAUAAAAAUAAAACCACACCAUUCAUCCACCUUCAAAGAAAAAAAAAUACUCACUACGAUUGAUAUAAUGGCGAUUAGAAUCUAAAGAGGUCCCACAACUGCACAGAAAAUUCCGCAAUAUGGGCCUUGGAGCGAAAAAAAGGGCUCCAUUUUCUGGGAAUUUACAGUAAGAGCUGGGUUGUUGAAGGUUGUGGUUGAAGGAUGGAGAGGAAUGUAGGAAUUGGGAGAGAGUGAGGAGGCGAGAGAGGGGGAAAUGGGAGUAGUGGUGGCGCGUGAGGAGAGCUGGAGAUGGGCUAGGCGUGAAUCGAAGAAGGCAAGAGCCUAUCUUCUUGUUGAUGCUUCUCUGCAUGCUCCUUGCUACUCCACCUCCAUGGAAGCCCUCGUUUCAGAGAUUUCAGGGUUUUGAGCUUUUUGGUUUUGUGAGUUGGAAGGGUUUUUGGAGAAAUGGGAGGAGAGGGGUUUCUGGAAUUGGAACAUGCUUUCUGAUGUGUUUUUCCACUUUUGGGUAAAAAUAAAAAUAAUAAAAUAAAUAAAUUUAUUAUUAUUAUUAUUAUUAUAUUAUGACUCUAUAUGUUCAACUCAAAAUUUAUUUUAUGAUACAAUUUAUUUUAUAAAAUUGAAAAUAUUUAUAUUAUAGAUAAAAUAAAUAUUAUAUAAAAAAUUAUUUGAGAAAAAAGGUAAAAAAGAUGGUAUUUAUGUUGAGGAAAAACUUUCCCAAUUUUAAAUUUUAGGUUUUUUCAUAUAAUAAUUAUAGAAAAAUACUUCAUUAUCUAAAAUACUUCAAAGGUUGGCUUCUCUUGCUACUUAUGUUUUUAUUAUUUAAACAAUGAUUUUUCUUCAAAAAAAAAAAAAAAAACCUACUCUUAAACAUUAUUUUAAACAAUAAAUAUUGUAUAUAAAUAAAAUAAAUAUUGCACAAAAAAUAUAAUAUAUAAGAAUAUUAUAGUUAAAAAUAACUAUAGUACUUUUUUUUUUUGGAUAAAUAUGUAUACAACAUAUUCAUUAUACUAAUUGUAUUUUUAUCAUAAUAUUAUAAAUCAAUACCAAUUUUAACUUAGUUUUAUGUUGUUUGGUUGUGAAUGAGAAAUUUGCCGGAAAGAAAAUUAAAUUUAUUAGGCAUGACCUAAAAGCAAAGAAUAAAAUCCAUUUUAUCCCCUCAACCUUUUGUGUCUCUUACACUUUGUCUCACAUUCAAAAUCCAACGCACUUCAAACUUCUUAAUGGGUAGCACUCAACUUUUUUUUUGGAUAAUUUUUAUUUUCAUUAAAUGGAUGUGCUCCACACGUGAUGUGAUAAGAGGGUAAAAAUGUCAUUUAAAAGAUAUCCAUGGCCCUAAAAUCUAUUCCUUCAUUUUUCUUUUUCUGAAACCUUGAAAUCCUCAAGUCUAAAAAAACACACCUCCUUUAAUCGAUCUUCCUAUUAUGCUGAGACAAUGAGUCUAGCACAUUAUAUGUUGGCAAUUUUGUUUCAAUAUAUUUUGGCUCAUGAAAGUUUUUAAAUAGUGACUUACUCAUCAUUGAAGAUUCAAGGUUGUUGUUGGUUAAACCAUAAAGUUACAGGUAAGUUUAAAAAUGUUUAUUUAGUGGCAAGUUAAAUGAUUAAAGGGUUAAAGUGGAUCAAUAUUUUUUUCAUAAGCUAAAAAUACUUGAAUUAAUGUUUUGGAAAAAACAAGAGACACUUGAGCGGUGGAACCAACACUCAAGUGCUUAUCUAACACUCAAGCUCACAAGGCGUUCGAGCGAUGAUUAAGUGCAUUCAAGUGGUUGUCCCAAAUCUGCUAGAAUAUGGUAGAUUUCUUUUUGAAAUUUUAUAAGUAUUAUUUUUUGGAAAUUCUAUAUAUCGAUCCCUUAGGCCUAUAGGCCUAUAUAAACCCUCUAUUAACCCCUUUUAGGGUUAGACACCUUGAAAGAGUUGACCAACUUAACCUAUCAUUCCUAAUCUCUCAAGAAAAAAUUCAUAAUAUUGAAUUUCGGGUUGUUGGAAGAACUUGCAUCCCCUAAGAGGUUGAGAAGAAUCUACUAAAGCAUUAGAGGUGUUAUGUCGCGGAUGUGGAUCAAGGUAUAGGUGCUAGAGAAUAAGUUUUUAAGGUAAAAUGGUCAAGUAAAUCUGUGUACUUUGACCUGAAAUAGUGGAUUGUAUAUUAAAGGUCUUAGACCUCAUGGUUUUUAUUUCCACAGUUAGUGUUAGGUUUUUCCACAUAAAAAAUUAUUAUGUCUCUUGUUUGAUAUUUGAUUACUUUGAUUAUCCCUAAUAUCUUCAAGUUUUAUUUUGGGAUAAUUUUUCAUCACUUAUAUUGUAUUAUUUAAAAACACCUAUUCCCUCAUCUCCUCUCUCAGGUGUUAUCCUAAUAGACAAAAGGUUUUUUCAAUUGGUAUUAGAGCAAGCUUUUCUAAAUAAAAAUCAUAUUUUUAUUGAUCUUGCAAGUCCAAUAUGGAACAAUCAAGGUCUGAAGCUCCCCUAAAUAGUCCACCCUAUUUCGAUGGGAGUAAUUAUCCCAACUAAAAGGCCCAAAUGAUUUUUUGAAAAUGCAAGGAGAAAAGGUCUACAAUGCAACGAAAUAUGGAUGAAGACUUCAUUGAAACUAUAUGUGAAUGGGAAAUCUACUGAUGAAUUAAAACCCAAAAAAGAAUGGCAUAAAUUAGAUAAUGAAGAAAGUGAUGCCAAUGCUCGGGUUCUCUUUAGCAUAUUCAAUAGGGUAAGUCCUAAUGAGUUUUGCAAGAUAGCCACUUGUAAAGAUGCUAAAAAAGCCUAGGACAUUCUCCAGGUUACUCAUGAAGGCACUUUAGUUGUGAGGUUGGCUAAAUUGCAAAUGUUAACCUUCAGGUUUGAAAGCAUUAAAACGCAAGAGAAUAAAACUUUCUUUGCAUUCUAUGCUGAAUUAAGUGACAUUUUGAACUUCUUUUUUUAACUUAAGAGAACAAAUCCCUGACUUUAAAGUAAGUAGAAAAAUCUUGAGAUCUCUUCUUGAAAGGUUUAAACCUAAGGUCAUCACAAUAGAGGAAAACAAGGAUAUUUACUCCAUGAGGGUUGAUGACCUUGUUGGUUUUUUUCAAAUCUAUGAAAUGACCUUUCUAAACUCUCACAAGCCUAAAGAGUCUACUUUUAAGGAUAAUGAAAUUGAAGAAAAAGAGUUUGAAAAUCAUAAUGAGAUAACUAGGGAUGAACUAGCGUUCAAGGCUAAAUGAUUACUACUCAAAAAGUGCUAUUUCAUAGCUUGUAAUUAACUCUUUUAAACACUUUUAAGUAGUAGUUAUUAUCUUUUAACCCAAUUAACAUAUUAAGGACCCUUGCAAUCAAUUCUAAUCAAAUUGUGUUAAGUUUUGGUGUUUUGAUAACUUUUUGAUCACCAAAGCAAUCCGAGAUUGAGGAGAGUUCUUUGGAAUCCAUAAGUAAAUCCAGAAUACAAGGAGUAUGGGAUCCUGCUCAUUCCACCCGGACGAGAAUCAUAGCUCAUUCCACCCGGGUAGGAAUUCCAUCCGGCUGCCGCUAUUACAUCCGGCUGCUGCCACUUUCCACCCCGGAUGUAUCACAUCCGAAAUUCUGCUGCCGCCGCCAUUCCACCCGGAUGUAUCACAUCCGGAAUUCUGCUGCGUCGUCAUUCCACCUGAAUGUUUCACAUCCGGAAUUUUGAUGCCGGAUGGGAGAGGAGAGCGUUUCAACUUCCCCGGUCACACAUAUCUGGAUCAUCUGAUAGCGCUUACCCGGAGAGUUUCGCAGAUAUUUUGCACAGUGUCGCGGUGUUCUCUUGAAGCUUCCAGAUAUUUGCGACUGACAUUUGAAGAUAUUUUGCUUUAGAUAUUUGAUGUCGAAAUCCCCAAACUCUCCUUGUAACCCACCAAUUAUAGGAUUCCUUAGUUAUUAAGUUUGGAAAAAUGGUGAAUAACCCCUUAUAUAUAGCUUUGUAAUUUCCUUUACAGAGAGAGAUCGAUCAUAUAUCGAUCAUAGAUGUAAUCUGGGAGCUUGUUCUUAGAGACGCAUCCUUUGUACAGUUUUGUAAGGAAGUAAAAUACAAAGCACUUGCUCUGCUUUUCAUAUUUUUGUUUUCUUGUUAUUUUACUUUCUAGCCAAUCAAACUCUGAAGAUUUUUCCUCAGAGGAUGAGAGGCUAGGCUCUUCGUCUCUUGGAGUGAAGAAAGCUGGGUAAAUUUCCACAUGCAUAAAUUGGAAGUUUUGUUGUUUUAGUUUUUAAUGAAGAGAAAGUGUGACCCGUUAAUGGUUUUUAUCUUUUUAGUUAACUUAAAACGCCUUUAAUUCACCUGGGCCAACACUUGAUAAGGCAAGUGGUCUCCAUCCAUUGAGAUACACUAGUUUAUCUCUUGCGAGCCUUUGGGAGG